AGGACGAACGCUGGCGGCGUGCCUAACACAUGCAAGUCGAACGAGAUCCAUGGAAGCUUGCUUCUUGAAGAUCUAGUGGCUAACGGGUGAGUAACACGUGAGCAACCUGCCCUGGAAUCGGGGAUAACUCGAGGAAACUCGAGCUAAUACCGGAUACCUUCCCUUGGCCGCAUGACCGAGGGAAGAAAGAAUUUCGUUCCAGGAGGGGCUCGCGGCCUAUCAGUUUGUUGGCGGGGUAACGGCCCACCAAGACUACGACGGGUAGCUGGUUUGAGAGAACGAUCAGCCACACUGGGACUGAGACACGGCCCAGACUCCUACGGGAGGCAGCAGUGGGGAAUCUUGCGCAAUGGGCGAAAGCCUGACGCAGCAACGCCGCGUGCGGGAUGACGGCCUUCGGGUUGUAAACCGCUUUCAGGAGGGACGAAAAUGACGGUACCUCCAGAAGAAGCCCCGGCUAACUACGUGCCAGCAGCCGC
rnacentral:rRNA from 1 species